UUUUUUUGUAAUCUAUUUCAUUGUCUAAAUUUAAAGUAAACAAUACUAUAAUAUAUGAUCAAAUACAUUAAGUUAACAAGCACUAUAACAUUUAUAGUGCCCACAUUCAACGAUGAUCAGUUGGACCGAAAGCCAUAAAUUGAAAAAAAAAAAAAGAUAUUUAAUGAGCUUAAAGAGGAAAAAUAAAAAUUAACAAAAUUUAAACGACUAGUGAAGAAAUUAACCAAGCCGAGAUGAAAAACAGAAAUAGAAGGCCACUAUAAGCCAAACAUUACAAAUCAGGUUGCUUUUUAAGACAUGAACCUAGUUUCCAAUUACAGUAAUUUGCAAUUCUUUAAAAAAAAAGGGUUUCCCAAUUACUAAAUCUUUUUAGGUUUGAAGUGGAUUGAUAAUUAAAUUGAC
rnacentral:lncRNA from 1 species